rnacentral:lncRNA from 1 species
GUUUUCUGGUUUUUUAAUUUUUUUUUCUUGUUUUUUUUUUUUUUUUUUACUUUUUUACUUUUCAGCUUUCUGGUUUUGAUAGUUUCCUUCACUGCCUAAGUUUGGCUAUCCUGGAGCUUCCUUUGUAGACCCAGGCUGUCCUUGAACUCUAAAAUCUACUUGCCUUUUCCUCCCAGGUGCUUGGAUUACAGGUUUGUGGACUUGGCCUUAUGCUUUUAUUUAAUUCCUUUUUCAUUUAAUUCCUUAGCUGGGUGGGGGUCUUGUUCUGAGGUCACCACUCCCUUUACUCCACUUAGCAUCUGGCUUUUCUUUAAUCUGUUUACAUUCCCUGGGGCUCCUUUUCUUCCUCUACUGUACUUUUUGUAUUUUUUCUUGCUUAUCUUAAGUCUUUUGUUGUAGAUCUGCAUAAGACUGGCUUCUAUUAACCACAGAAGACAGUCAAUGCUAGGUUGUUUGGAAAAGUCCUUUGCCAAAACAUUUAAUCAAUAAUUCCUUAAUUUAGCCUCAGGCAGAUUUUUUUGGACAAAGGCAGAAAACAGCCACAUUCUUUACCAAAAUAUUGCAAGAACAAUCUCUAGGCCACAUAUAAUAUUUUUCUCUGAAACUUCUUAAGCUGGGCUCUCAUAGUUCAAAUCACCCUCAGUACCACUAUCUUCCAUGAUCCUACUAGUAUGGCUCAUUAAGCCCGGUUUAAAAUGUCCAAUGACAUUUCUAGCUCAAAAGUCCCAAAGUAUUCCAUAUUCUUCCAGGCAAAAACAGUGUCAGGCCUAUCUUAGCAAUACCCCAUUCCAGGAACCAGCCUCGAUCUUAGUUAGAGUUUCUAUUGCUGUGAAGAGACAUCAUGACCACAUCUCUUAGAAAGGCAUUUAAUCAGGCCAGCUUAAAGUUUAGAGGUUUACUCCAUUGUCAUAAUGGCAGGAAGCAUGGCAGUAUGCAGGUAGAUGUGGUGUUAGACAGGUAGCUGAGUGAUCUCUACCCAAAUCAGCAAAAAGCAGGAAGAGAGUGCCACACUGGGCCUUUCUUGAGCAUCUGAAACCUCAGAGCCCACCCCUCAGUGACACACUUCCUCCUACAAGGCCAUUCCUACUCCAACAAAGGCAGACUUCCAAUAAUGCCACUCCCUAUGAGUCUAUGGAGGCCAUUUCCAUUCAGACCUCCACAGCUGAGUUAGUUACUUCAUUCCUGAUGGAAUCCUAGAAUGAAAUGGAUCAGAACAAACCAAAUUGAUGAUAUAUUUGGAGACUUAGCCAGAAAAUGUCAAGAUACAAGAGUAAAAAGAGAACAAGAUACAAGAGUAAAAAGAGAACAAGAUACAAGAGUAAAAAGAGAACAGAAGUGGUAAUGGGCAGGUAAUGUGUGUGUGUGCACUUGUCUAUGUAGGUGUGUAUGGAGGUUAGCAUUGGCAUGUUAUUCUCUCUAGCUCUCCCUAGCUUUACUGAAUUGAAGCUUGCCAUUUCCACUAGACUAUCUGACCAGGGAGCCCCCCCGGAUCCGCCUGGUUUCUCUUCCCAGCACUGGGGUUAUAAACAUACACUGACACUGGAGAUCUGAACUCUGUCUUAGGCUUGUGUAGUACUUUACUAUUUAGUUACCCACGUAGCCAUCUCCCCAGCACAGAGCUUGUUUAUUUAGAAGGUGUAGAAAGGAUCUCUAGUGGACAGUCAGAGGGGAGGCAGAUUUAGACUGAGUUGUUCAAUACAACAUCUUGCUAUAGCCAUUUCCCCUCUAAUCUUUGCUUUAUACUUGUUUUCUAGAAUUCUGCUGCCAUAACCCAGACUUGUUUUUCAACCCCAAGACCUGAAGUUUUUGGCCUUUUUAGUGUUGUGUUAUCAUGAUUCUUUUCAUCAGCUCUCUUCCCUAGUUUAGAUGUCUCAGUAGUAGCUCCCCUUCUGUUGCUGUUUUGAAUCCUCACAUUGAUCCUUUGCUUCUUGAUCUGCUCAGCCUUAGAGCCAUAGAAUAGAAAACAGUUUGAGUACCGGGUUUCUUCUGUGUAUACAGAUGGUGAAAAUUAACUGGUAACAAAGACUCCCGAGGAAUAAAUUUAGUAUAGACUAAAGGAAAAAGGAUUGUAGCAUGAAAACUGAAUGUCCCUUCUCAUAGCCUGUGGCCCUGCAGGAUGUAUGCUUAUAAUAAAAGGAACUAACUACUACCACUGGUAAGGAAAGCCAGGUUUUUGUCCUAAUGUAAAAUCGUCAUUGAGUAACUGCAUACUUUGGUUGUGAUGCUUGUAGUGACUCUGUUAUGGAGAUCAUGGAUGAGCUUGUGCUCUUUGGCUGGAUGACAAAAAAAAAAAAAGUAUGCGAUCAACAGCUGAAUAAAGAAUUUAAUUGAAAAUGUCUCUUUCUUUUUCAGGUGUUUGGCAACCAGCUCAUUCCUCCCAAUGCACAAGUGAAGAAAGCCACCGUCUUUCUCAAUCCCGCAGCUUGCAAAGGGUAUUUCAGUUUGUGACUUACUGUAUUUAGUUUUUCUAAAGGCAAAGGACAAAAUCUCCACAAAGGCAGGUGGUGGACUGUGUGCUACAGUGACUGGGACUGGUUACUGUGCAGCCACAGCGUUAGUCUCCGAGUGGAAGUCACCGUGCCGCAAAUUGAUGUUCAUCAAACACCAAGGAUUUAUAUCAGCUUGAGAGCAGUCCUACUGGGAAUGAUUGCUCUCCUGCUUUGCAUAACCGUGUUAGGCUGCCAUCACAAAGGAGUUUGAGAGAUCAAGAGCACAGUGGGCUCAGGAGGACAGUGUAGUCUUUACAAAGGAGGGAACCUUCUACUGGCCUUAGAGAAAGUUCACUCUCCCCAAACAAGGCUGUGGCCUGGUAGGGCAGUCACCUAAGGACGGGGAAGAUUGUUCCUCAGUAAGUGCUGCGCGGGGCUUUUGCUAGAAGUGGCAUAUUUGUUGCUUAGUUGAUGGUACCCGUUGUAUCACCCUGAAAUGCAGGGUACUGUGAAGACAAGGAAAGGUUGUGGAGGAACUCAGAAUUGCCCUGUCUGGGGGAAAAAGCCACAAGC